GGGAAUGUGGCUUAGUGGUAGAGUGUUUGCCUAGCAAGCACGAAGCCCUGGGUUCAAUUCCUCAGCACCA
rnacentral:tRNA from 1 species